ACACACUCUCAUGUCCACAGUGUCCUGUUGCUAACAUGGAUCAGCUCUAAUCAGUGUGGGAAAGGACUACCAAAGAGCACAUGUGCCCUGGGAUAAGAUGAGUGAUGUUCCAAGUCACCACCCUGAAUGAGGACCAGGAUUGACAAAGGUGGACUUUACCUUCCUCAAGUUCUUCUUCCAAAAACCCAGAGAUCUCACUUUCCCAGAGCUCAGGCAUCAGAACUGAUGGAAAAACAAGGUAGCACCUUUCUCCGAGAAGAUCAGGGGGCUGUUUGAACACAAGUCAACAUUAUAUAUGGUUCUUCUGUUCAUGCCUGUUUGCUUGGUUGCUCAAUUCUGCUUCCGCUGUGGGUUCUUUGUUCCCUUUCUUUUGCUUAUUGCUGCUCAUGGUUGUAAUGGUGUUCUGUUAUAUCCAUUUACCUAAAGCACUUGAGACUUAUGUUUUAGGAAUCUAGAAGACCAAGAAGACAUGCUUAAAAAUGGAAUUUUUUAUGAUUGCAACAUGGUGAUUCACCCUUUUAUAUAUUACAAGUUCAAUAAAUGCAUCAGCACACUGAGAAA